AUUGAACUGAAGAGUUUGAUCCUGGCUCAGAUUGAACGCUGGCGGCAUGCCUUACACAUGCAAGUCGAACGGCAGCACGGGUGCUUGCACCUGGUGGCGAGUGGCGAACGGGUGAGUAAUACAUCGGAACAUGUCCAGUAGUGGGGGAUAGCCCGGCGAAAGCCGGAUUAAUACCGCAUACGAUCUACGGAUGAAAGCGGGGGAUCGCAAGACCUCGCGCUAUUGGGGUGGCCGAUGGCGGAUUAGCUAGUUGGUGGGGUAAAGGCCCACCAAGGCGACGAUCCGUAGCUGGUCUGAGAGGACGACCAGCCACACUGGGACUGAGACACGGCCCAGACUCCUACGGGAGGCAGCAGUGGGGAAUUUUGGACAAUGGGCGAAAGCCUGAUCCAGCAAUGCCGCGUGUGUGAAGAAGGCCUUCGGGUUGUAAAGCACUUUUGUCCGGAAAGAAAUCCUGGUGGCUAAUAUCCGCCGGGGAUGACGGUACCGGAAGAAUAAGCACCGGCUAAC
rnacentral:rRNA from 1 species